UGGAAUGGGGGGAAGGGGGCAGCGGUAAGAGGAAGGGUGGUAGAUGUGUGAGAAAUGAAUGGUCGUAAGGCGCAGCUAGGCGAACUUUUAAGUCAGGUGUGAAAUCCCGGGGCUCAACCUCGGGACUGCCUUUGAUACUGGGAGUCUGGAGUGCGAGAGAGGUGAGUGGAACUCCGAGUGUAGAGGUGAAAUUCGUAGAUAUUCGGAGGAACGCCAGUGGCGAAGGCGGCUCACUGGCUCGGUACUGACGCUGAGGUGCGAAAGCGUGGGGAGCAAACAGGAUUAGAUACCCGAGUAGUC
rnacentral:rRNA from 1 species